rnacentral:rRNA from 1 species
UUUUAAAAAAAAUAAUAUAAAUUUUCUUUAUAUAAUUAAUUUAAAUAUAUUUCAAGUAUAGAAGAUAUUUUUUAUUUUUAUUUUAAAAAUAAAAAGAAAUUUAUGUAAAAGUUUGGUAAAAUUUGUGCCAGCAGCCGCGGUUAUACAAAUAAAUUUAUUUUUUAUUAUUUAUUUAAAUAGAUAAAUUAAAGUAAGUUAAUGUAAUUUUAUUUUUUAGGUGAAAUUUAUUAAUAAUUUAAUUUAAAUUAUUAUUGAUUUUUUAAAAAUUUUUAAAAUAAACUAGGAUUAGAUACCCUAUUAUUAAAAGCUAAAAUGUUGAGAGUAUAUAAAUAUUAUGAAAUCAAAAAAUUUUGGCGGUAUUUUAAGCUUUUUAGAGGAAUUUGCUCUGUAAUGGAUAAAACACCUAAAUCUUACUUAAUUUUGUUAAAUCAGUUUGUAUACCACUAUAUUUAAUUAUAUUGAAUAAUUAUAUUUAUAAUUUUAUAUUAUAAAAAUAUAUUAAGUCAAGGUGCAACAAAAAAAUUAUGAAUGAAGUGAAUUACAUUAAUUAUUAUAGAAAUACAGAUGAAAUUAAAAAAUUUAGGAUUUAAUAGUAAAAUAUUAAUAUAAUGAAUAUUUGAAAUAAGCUCUAAAAUAUGCACAUAUCGCCCGUCGCUCUCAUUUAUGAGAUAAGUCGUAACAAAGUAAAAAUACUGGAAAGUGUUUUU